rnacentral:rRNA from 1 species
CGUAGUUUGAUCCUGGCUNAAGAACGAACGCUGGCGGCAUGCCUAACACAUGCAAGUCGAACGAGACCUUCGGGUCUAGUGGCGCACGGGUGCGUAACGCGUGGGAACCUGCCUUUAGGUUCGGAAUAACUCAGAGAAAUUUGAGCUAAUACCGGAUGAUGUCUUCGGACCAAGAUUUAUCGCCUAAGGAUGAGCCCGCGUUGGAUUAGCUAGUUGGUGAGGUAAAGGCUCACCAAGGCGACGAUCCAUAGCUGGUCUGAGAGGAUGAUCAGCCACACUGGGACUGAGACACGGCCCAGACUCCUACGGGAGGCAGCAGUGGGGGAAUAUUGGACAAUGGGCGAAAGCCUGAUCCAGCAAUGCCGCGUGAGUGAUGAAGGCCCUAGGGUUGUAAAGCUCUUUCACCGGUGAAGAUAAUGACGGUAACCGGAGAAGAAGCCCCGGCUAACUUCGUG